rnacentral:rRNA from 1 species
GACGAACGCUGGCGGCGUGCCUAACACAUGCAAGUCGAACGGGGGCCAGGGGGCAACUCUGGUUCAGUGGCGGACGGGUGCGUAACACGUGAGGAACAUGACUUUCGGCGGGGGAUAGCCGGCCCAACGGCCGGGUAAUACCGCGUACGACCUUUUGGGGACAUCCCCGAUUGGUGAAAGCAGCAAUGCGCCGAAAGAGUGCCUCGCGGCCUAUCAGCUAGUUGGUGGGGUAAUGGCUCACCAAGGCGACGACGGGUAGCUGGUCUGAGAGGAUGGCCAGCCAUAUUGGGACUGAGACACGGCCCAGACUCCUACGGGAGGCAGCAGUGGGGAAUCUUGCGCAAUGGGCGAAAGCCUGACGCAGCGACGCCGCGUGGGGG